UACAGAGGGUGCAAGCGUUGUUCGGAAUUAUUGGGCGUAAAGCGCGUGUAGGCGGCCUUGCAAGUCGGGUGUGAAAUCCCUCAGCUCAACUGAGGAAGUGCGCCCGAAACUGCAGAGCUUGAGUCUCGGAGAGGAUGGUAGAAUUCCCCAAGUAGAGGUGAAAUUCGUAGAUAUGGGGAGGAAUACCGGUGGCGAAGGCGGCCAUCUGGACGAGUACUGACGCUGAGACGCGAAAGCGUGGGUAGCAAACAGGAUUAGAUACCCUGGUAGUCCACGCCGUAAACGAUGAGAACUAGGUGUCGUGGGUGUUGACCCCCGCGGUGCCGUCGCUAACGCAUUAAGUUCUCCGCCUGGGAAGUACGGCCGCAAGGCUAAA
rnacentral:rRNA from 1 species